UGGGGAAUUUUUCGCAAUGGGGGCAACCCUGACGAAGCAAUGCCGCGUGGAUGAUGAAGUAUCUCGGUACGUAAAAUCCUUUCGACGGGGACGAAACCGCAAGGUUGACGGUACCCGUAGAAGAAGCCCCGGCUAACUCCGUGCCAGCAGCCGCGGUAAUACGGGGGGGGCAAGCGUUGUUCGGAAUUACUGGGCGUAAAGGGUGCGUAGGCGGCUCUCUAAGUCGGAUGUGAAAACUCUGGGCUCAACCCAGAGCCUGCAUCUGAAACUGGAGAGCUAGGGUUUUGGAGGGGAAAGCGGAAUUCCAGGUGUAGCGGUGAAAUGCGUAGAUAUCUGGAGGAACACCGGUGGCGAAGGCGGCUUUCUGGACAAAUACCGACGCUGAGGCACGAAAGCUAGGGGAGCAAACAGG
rnacentral:rRNA from 1 species